rnacentral:tRNA from 1 species
GCCGAGCUGGUGAAAAUUGGUAAACACGCGGGUUUUAGGUACCUGUGUCUCAAAGGACGUGGGGGUUCAAGUCCCCCGCUCGGCA